GGAUGUGUGCGGCUCAGUGGCAGAGCCUCCGCUUGGCGUGCAGAGGGUCCCAGGUUCAAUCCCUGGCGUCUCCA
rnacentral:tRNA from 1 species